GACGAACGCUGGCGGCGUGCUCAACAUAUGUAAGUCGAACGGAAAGGCCCAGCUAACGUGGAGUGCGCGAGUGGCGAACGGGUGAGUAACACGCGAGUAACCUGGCCUUGAUAUUGGGAUAACUUCACGAAACUGGGGCUACUACCGGAUAGGAGCCCCAGCUGCAUGGUGGGUGCUGGAAAGUUUCGGCGGUUGGGCUUGGACUCGCGGCGUAUCAGCCAGAAGGUGGGGUGGUGGCUUACCAAGGCUUUGACGGGUAGCCGGCCUGAGAAGGUGACCGGCCACAGUGGAACGGAGAUACAGCCCAGACGCCUACGGGAGCCAGCGGUGGGGAAUAUUGCCCAGUGGGAGAGAGUCGGAGGCAGCAACGCCGCGUCCGGGAUGACGGCCUACGGGUUGUAACCCGCUUACGCCUGUAACGAAGCCUGUGUGACGUUAAUGGGUAACGGAGCAACGGCUAACUACGUG
rnacentral:rRNA from 1 species